rnacentral:rRNA from 1 species
GACGAACGCUGGCGGCGUGCCUAAUACAUGCAAGUAGAACGCUGAAGGAGGAGCUUGCUUCUCCGGAUGAGUUGCGAACGGGUGAGUAACGCGUAGGUAACCUGCCUGGUAGCGGGGGAUAACUAUUGGAAACGAUAGCUAAUACCGCAUAAGAGUAGAUGUCGCAUGACAUUUGCUUAAAAGGUGCAACUGCACCACUACCAGAUGGACCUGCGUUGUAUUAGCUAGUUGGUGAGGUAACGGCUCACCAAGGCAACGAUACAUAGCCGACCUGAGAGGGUGAUCGGCCACACUGGGACUGAGACACGGCCCAGACUCCUACGGGAGGCAGCAGUAGGGAAUCUUCGGCAAUGGACGGAAGUCUGACCGAGCAACGCCGCGUGAGUGAAGAAGGUUUUCGGAUCGUAAAGCUCGGUUGUAAGAGAAGAACGAGUGUGAGAGUGGAAAGUUCACACUGUGACGGUAGCUUACCAGAAAGGGACGGCUAACUACGUG